UACGGAGGAUCCAAGCGUUAUCCGGAAUCAUUGGGUUUAAAGGGUCCGUAGGCGGUUUGGUAAGUCAGUGGUGAAAGCCCAUCGCUCAACGGUGGAACGGCCAUUGAUACUGCCAGACUUGAAUUAUUAGGAAGUAACUAGAAUAUGUAGUGUAGCGGUGAAAUGCUUAGAGAUUACAUGGAAUACCAAUUGCGAAGGCAGGUUACUACUAAUGGAUUGACGCUGAUGGAACGAAAGCGUGGGUAGCGAACAGG
rnacentral:rRNA from 1 species